rnacentral:rRNA from 1 species
GAAUUCGAUUGUUUCAGCAGCCGCGGUAAUACAUAGGGUGCAAGCGUUGUCCGGAUUUAUUGGGCGUAAAGAACUCGUAGGUGGUUUGUUACGUCGGAUGUGAAACUCUGGGGCUCAACCCCAGACCUGCAUCCGAUACGGGCAGACUAGAGUGUGGUAGGGGAGACUGGAAUUCCUGGUGUAGCGGUGGAAUGCGCAGAUAUCAGGAGGAACACCAAUGGCGAAGGCAGGUCUCUGGGCCAUUACUGACACUGAGGAGUGAAAGUGUGGGGAGCGAACAGGAUUAGAUACCCUGGUAGUCCACACCGUAAACGAUGGACGCUAGUUGUGGGGACCUUCCACGGUUUCUGCGACGCAGCUAACGCAUUAAGCGUCCCGCCUGGGGAGUACGAUCGCAAGAUUAAAACUCAAAGGAAUUGACUGGGCCCCGCACAAGCAGCGGAGCAUGCGGCUUAAUUCGACGCAACGCGAAGAACCUUACCAAGGCUUGACAUAUAGGGAAAAGCAGCAGAGAUGUUGUGUCCGCAAGGGCCCUAUACAGGUGGUGCAUGGUUGUCGUCAGCUCGUGUCGUGAGAUGUUGGGUUAAGUCCCGCAACAAGCGCAACCCUCAUUCUGUGUUGCCAGCAUUUAGUUGGGGACUCACAGGAGACUGCCGUGGUUAACACGGAGGAAGGUGGGGAUGACGUCAAAUCAUCAUGCCCCUUAUGUCUUGGGCUGCACGCAUGCUACAAUGGCUGGUACAAACGGCUGCAAUACCGCAAGGUUGAGCGAAUCCGAAAAAGCCAGUCUCAGUUCGGAUUGGGGUCUGCAACUCGACCCCAUGAAGUCGGAGUUGCUAGUAAUCGUAGAUCAGCAACGCUACGGUGAAUACGUUCCCGGGGCUUGUACACACCGCCCGUCAAAC